UGAAGCCAGUCGAAGAUACCAGCUGGCUGCAACUGUUUAUUAAAAACACAGCACUGUGCAAACACGAAAGUGGACGUAUACGGUGUGACGCCUGCCCGGUGCUGGAAGGUUAAUUGAUGGGGUUAGCCGCAAGGCGAAGCUCCUGAUCGAAGCCCCAGUAAACGGCGGCCGUAACUAUAACGGUCCUAAGGUAGCGAAAUUCCUUGUCGGGUAAGUUCCGACCUGCACGAAUGGCGUAAUGAUGGCCAGGC
rnacentral:rRNA from 1 species